GUUCGAUCAUGUAGUGCUGGACUACUUAUAUCACUUCCAGAAUUAGUAACCUCUUGACGUGCUGCAUUCAACAAGCUAUCACUAAUAACUCUUGCACGAGAAAAUUCUUCUGCUGACAUUCGACGUGUUGAUGUCAAUUCUGAUUUAUCGAUAUACUAAACGCGUGAUACUUUCAAUAAAGCGUACAAAGCGUAGAUUGAAUGACUCAUACGGUAAUCGAGAGUUUAGAUGGUUUCGUACCGUGACUGUGAUAGUAAUGUAUUGUUGAUUGCUCAUGGCUAACAAGAUGUUGUGAUUAUUAUGAUUAUAACGGACUGUAUGAUUCGCAAACUAUAAGUAGAAUAUAAAGAAAAAAAUGGUUGCCAAUGAAUUUUUUCUAAGCCACAUUCCUUUGUUAAAUUUAAUUUAAAAUAAACUUUAAA